GCGUUGUCCGGAAUUAUUGGGCGUAAAGAGCUCGUAGGCGGUCUGUCGCGUCGAAUGUGAAACCCCGAGGCUCAACUUCGGGCCUGCAUUCGAUACGGGCAGACUAGAGUUCGGUAGGGGAGUCUGGAAUUCCUGGUGUAGCGGUGAAAUGCGCAGAUAUCAGGAGGAACACCGGUGGCGAAGGCGGGACUCUGGGCCGAUACUGACGCUGAGGAGCGAAAGCGUG
rnacentral:rRNA from 1 species